rnacentral:rRNA from 1 species
AUGGCGGCGGCGGCGAAGAUAGCGCCGUCCAUGCUCUCGUCGGACUUCGCCAACCUCGCCUCGGAGGCCGAGCGCAUGGUCCGCCUCGGCGCCGACUGGCUCCACAUGGACGUCAUGGAUGGGCACUUCGUUCCUAAUUUAACUAUUGGAGCUCCAGUGAUUGAGAGCUUGAGGAAGCACACCAAGGCAUAUUUGGACUGCCAUCUCAUGGUCACAAAUCCUUCUGAUUAUGUAGAGGCAUUUGGGAAAGCUGGUGCCUCAGGAUUCACAUUCCAUAUAGAAGUAGCCAGGGAUAACUGGAAAGAGCUCAUCCAAAACAUUAAAGCAAAGGGCAUGCGGCCUGGUGUAUCAUUGAAGCCUGGUACUCCUGUGGAAGAUGUUUUUCCCCUGGUGGAAGCAGAAACCCCUGUAGAGUUGGUUCUGGUGAUGACAGUCGAGCCUGGCUUUGGUGGCCAGAAGUUCAUGCCGGAGAUGAUGGAUAAGGUGCGUACGCUGAGGAAGAAGUACCAGUCCCUCGACAUUGAGGUCGACGGCGGCCUGGGUCCUUCCACCAUCGACGCCGCCGCGUCCGCCGGCGCCAACUGCAUCGUCGCGGGGAGCUCCGUGUUCGGCGCGCCCGACCCCGGACAGGUCAUCUCGGCGCUGCGGAAGAGCGUGGAGGCGUCGCAGAUCAAGAGCUGA